GAUGAACGCUGGCGGCGUGCCUAAUACAUGCAAGUCGAGCGAACAGACGAGGAGCUUGCUCCUCUGACGUUAGCGGCGGACGGGUGAGUAACACGUGGAUAACCUACCUAUAAGACUGGGAUAACUUCGGGAAACCGGAGCUAAUACCGGAUAAUAUAUUGAACCGCAUGGUUCAAUAGUGAAAGACGGUUUUGCUGUCACUUAUAGAUGGAUCCGCGCCGCAUUAGCUAGUUGGUAAGGUAACGGCUUACCAAGGCAACGAUGCGUAGCCGACCUGAGAGGGUGAUCGGCCACACUGGAACUGAGACGCGGUCCAGCCUCCUACGGGAGGCAGCAGUAGGGAAUCUUCCGCAAUGGGCGAAAGCCUGACGGAGCAACGCCGAGUGAGUGAUGAAGGUCUUCGGAUCGUAAAACUCUGUUAUUAGGGAAGAACAAAUGUGUAAGUAACUAUGCACGUCUUGACGGUACCUAAUCAGAAAGCCACGGCUAACUACGUG
rnacentral:rRNA from 1 species